GACGAACCGUGCAAACGUUGUUCGGAAUCACUGGGCUUAAAGGGCGCGUAGGCGGCUCAUCAAGUCGGGGGUGAAAUACUUCAGCUUAACUGGAGAAGUGCCUUCGAUACUGGUGGGCUUGAGGGAGGUAGGGGUCUUUGGAACUUCUGGUGGAGCGGUGAAAUGCGUUGAUAUCAGAAGGAACGCCGGUGGCGAAAGCGAAGGACUGGAACUCUUCUGACGCUGAGGCGCGAAAGCUAGGGGAGCAAACGGG
rnacentral:rRNA from 1 species